CCUACGGGUGGCAGCAGUGGGGAAUAUUGGACAAUGGGCGAAAGCCUGAUCCAGCCAUGCCGCGUGUGUGAAGAAGGCCUUCGGGUUGUAAAGCACUUUCAGUGGGGAAGAAAGCCUUGGGGCUAAUACCCUCGAGGAAGGACAUCACCCACAGAAGAAGCACCGGCUAACUCCGUGCCAGCAGCCGCGGUAAUACGGAGGGUGCGAGCGUUAAUCGGAAUUACUGGGCGUAAAGCGCGCGUAGGCGGUCUGAUAAGCCGGUUGUGAAAGCCCCGGGCUCAACCUGGGAACGGCAUCCGGAACUGUCAGGCUAGAGUGCAGGAGAGGAAGGUAGAAUUCCCGGUGUAGCGGUGAAAUGCGUAGAGAUCGGGAGGAAUACCAGUGGCGAAAGCGGCCUUCUGGACUGACACUGACGCUGAGGUGCGAAAGCGUGGGUAGCAAACAGGAUUAGAUACCCCAGUAGUC
rnacentral:rRNA from 1 species